rnacentral:rRNA from 1 species
AUUGAACGCUGGCGGCAUGCUUUACACAUGCAAGUCGAACGGCAGCGGGGUAGUGCUUGCACUACUGGCGGCGAGUGGCGAACGGGUGAGUAAUAUAUCGGAACGUACCGAGUAAUGGGGGAUAACCAAUCGAAAGAUUGGCUAAUACCGCAUACGUCCUGAGGGAGAAAGCGGGGGAUCGCAAGACCUCGCGCUGUUCGAGCGGCCGAUAACUGAUUAGCUAGUUGGUGGGGUAAAGGCCUACCAAGGCGACGAUCAGUAGCGGGUCUGAGAGGACGAUCCGCCACACUGGGACUGAGACACGGCCCAGACUCCUACGGGAGGCAGCAGUGGGGAAUUUUGGACAAAGGGGGCAACCCUGAUCCAGCCAUGCCGCGUGUAUGAAGAAGGCCUUCGGGUUGUAAAGUACUUUUGUUAGGGAAGAAAAGGGAAGUGCUAAUACCACUUUUUGCUGACGGUACCUAAAGAAUAAGCACCGGCUAACUACGUG